AUUUUCUCUUCUUUCAACAUUAUCAACCGCCUCUUUCUCUCUCUAUUCUUUUCCUUCACUGCUUCACACCGAAACCCUAGCCUCCGUGUUCCUUUGGCUUGAAGCUUCUACAUCUCAUUUUCUCUGAAAACAUACGCUUGUGCUUGAAUCGACUAAUAAGGGAGACACGCUUUGCCCUUUCCAAUUCCUGCUCUCAAACCCUACUGUCCGAAUACACAUCUUCCCCUUCACGUUUCCUGCCGAUCAAUCGAUUUAUCAAUCCUAUAAUAUACUAAUCUCAUCAAUGUUGAAAGCCAUCAUCAAUUUGGCGUAGAUGGGUAUUCAAGAAAAUAAAGGCAUAAGUGGGAGUUUGGGUUCGUUUCUUACUCGCAGGUGCUUCACCUUUAUCUUGGACUUUUUAAAAGUGCAAGAUAAUCAUCCAUUGAAAACAAUAAUAAUACAACGAUGCUUUGGUUGUCUUAUGAGGGGCUACUUAGAAGGUGAGUAAUUAAUGGUUAUUUUGGAAACUUUGCACUAAUUUUCUUGCUAAAUGGUCAUGACGAUGUUGAGUUGUGAGGUUUUGGUGUGUGCUGCCUCCUUUAGAAGAAGAGGAUGUUCCUCAACUAUACCCAAAAGGGUCAAAUCUUGGUGAGUGAGCUUGAGAAACAGUUGAAAAUGGAGAUAAAAUCAAGAAACAGAGCCAGAGCCAGAGUCUAAAAGAUCUGGUAAAAGACAUAAUUUCUCUUUAGAUGAUGGUAAUUUAGGGUCUUUUAAUGAGGAUAUUUUUUGAGUAGUCUAAUGAGAAUAAGAGUUAGAAAGAAAGAUGGAGCUGAAGAUCUUUUAAAAAAGAAGAUGACAAUGGGUAUGUUUCUUGAAUUUAGAACUUGAUUUAAAACAUUUAGCUUUAGAUAAGGUGUUAACAUAAGUGUUUCACUAUUUGUAGCUAGAUUUUAUGUAUUUUGGUUCCAGCGGAAUGAAAUGGUCAAGACCGGGUUCUCCGGGUUCGAAGGAACCCGACUUUGUAGUGGGGCUACUUCAACUUAAAAGAUGAAACAAGGGUUACUAAAUAAAGUUCAAUAAGCAAUCCCAAACACCCCUCUAAAAGUAACUUAUUUAGUUAAUGCUUAAAAGUCAAAUGUGGUCAUGAUUUGUUCUUUUGAUGUUUUCUUUUCUUAUAUGCUCAGGCAUGAUUUUACUUUCAACAACUUAUAUCAUGAGUUAGUUACUGUCAUUCAAUGUUAUACAAUCUUUUUGUUCAGUUUACCAUUCUACUAUUUCUUUGUUCAUAACAGUAUCGCCUCUAGCUCUAUUCUGCACCGAUUAUUGUGUUGCAGGAAAUUUGUCACGGAUAUCUUAAGCUUGAAAAUACACUGUUGGAAGUGCAGCUCCUAGUGUUAAAAAUACUUAAAAUAUGUGAUUUUGGGUAUUCAAAGUAAUCAGUUAGGCGUUCCCAAUCAAAGUCAGCUGCAACUUACAUUGCACUUGAAGUUCUUUCAAGAAAAGAAUAUGAUGGAAAUGUGGCUCCUUUGAGCUUUUAGUUAUUUACUAGACAUGCAAUUUAAUGUUAUUUCUUAUUUGAAUUACCAUACUUGACUCAUCCUAACACACACCAUUGUUCUUGUGGAAAAACAAUAAAUUAAAUGGUUAAAAAAUUAAAAGUUAAGUUUUCGACAUA